ensembl:lncRNA
AUGCAUUUUGAAAGUGUUUUAAAAUGCAACAUUAUGCUUUUAAGGAAAAGUGUGGUUAUAGUAAGUCUAUCCUCGAUGAUAUGCUUCAGAUAUGUAAAUAUAGCUUUGAGAUUAUUGAUCGUAUUGUCUUUCUGUGCAUGCCUGCAUAUAUGCAUAUGUGUGAUUGUUCAUAUAUGUGCAUACUUUCCAGAUAUAGUCACAGUCAGCGUUGUGGAUGAAGUAGCUGAUGACCUCCGAUUAUUUCUGUCAAAUUCUCUUGAGUCCAUAUCUGGUUACCAGGUGAAGAGCCCAGUGAUUGGUGGUAUUUAGGACUCUGAUACAGGAGAUAUACAGAGGGCCCAGAUCAAUCUCUGCCAGCCAGGUAGUGUAGCAUAUUCAUAUUUAUCCACACAAAACUACAAAAAACAUUAGUUUAAUCCUGUGCUGUCACUGUGUCCUCUGCAGGUGGAGAUGGCCUGUGCUCUUCUUCUGAACUGAGACCAGCUCCACAUCAUGCAGUAUGCUUCCUGUGAGUUUGCUGAAUGUGACGCAGUGCAGCCAGUUGAGGUGAGUAACACUGCUGAAGGGUUUUGAGCACAAUACAAUAGAUUCUUGUAAGUUUCAGUUUCAUCUGACAGAAGUCUUUCUUUUGCCUGUGGUGUCACAGAGAAACAGUGCGUGGCUUUUAGCUGGGUUAGUGCCUGCUACACUUGUCUCCACAACAGAAAAAAACAAACUUUUCCAACUUAUCAGACUGGGUCAACAUUACAAGUGAGCACUACAUCAAACAGUUAUCUGUAAUAUGAAUUAUAUGUAUAGAUUAUAUUAUACUUUGUCUUAUAAAAUGCAUAGUUGCAGCUUUAAAUUUUGAUUUAGUAGUCUACACUACCGGUCAAAUGUUUGGAAUGGUAAAGAUUUUUUUAAUAAGCAUUUUCGUUUAUAUGCACAGCAACUUAACAUACACACACACACACACACACACAUACACACACACACACACACACACACACACACACACAUAUAUAUAUAUAUGUGUGUGUGUGUGUGUAUGUUAAGUAAUAUAUAUGUUGCAAUAGAAAACAUUUUAAAUUGUAAAAAUAUUUCACAAUAUUGUUGUAUUUUUGAUCAAAUAAUUGUAGCAGAAGAGAUGUCUCAAAACAUAAAAAAAUCCACCUGAAAAAGCUGACUACUGCUUUUAAUGAUUGAAUGAAAGCUAUUCUUGGUGUCUUAUAUCAGCUUCAGCGCAGAACUCCAGUCAGCCAGCAGAGGGCAGCAAUGGAGAGUGUUCAGCUGUUCCCACCCACCUCCACAUCCACGUGUGGAGGGGCAUCAUGGGAAGUGUGCAGGGUGUGCCUCAGAUGGUUAUCCAGGCAGUGGAGAUUAGGCACCGGACCGCUUUAUUCAGCAUUGUAUUGUUCUUAUCGUCUCACUUUCCUGAUAGCAAACAUGAUAGCUUUUCAUUAAUGACUGAGCUUGAUAUGUCUAGAUUGCAUAUACAGUUUUGAUACUCUGAGGGCAUUUUGUUUUGCAUUCAUUCUUUUUCCAAUUUUCAGUUUCAUAGUAACAACAUGGAGGGUAGAGUGUGGUAUGGGCAGGGUGAACCCAUGUUUAAACCCAGAGCUAAUGCAAAAUUUCCCUGUAAGCUAGUCUGUGACCUUUACUGACAAUCCUAUUAUUACACAACCCCCUAGAUCCAGGUGGGUCCUAAACACACACAUAUAACUGAGAUUACUGAACAGAUGCAGUUGCAUUUAAUUUCAACAGUUUUUUCCCCCUGAUAAAACUACAAUAAAAAUAAUAUAUUUAUUUAAAAAAUAUUAUAUUGCAAAUAUUUUCAAUAUUGUCAUACACAUUUUAGAAAUAGUUAUUUCUAUUGGUUUCAAUCUGUGGCUUGCAAAUACGGCAUUAUUUCACAAAUCCACCUCCAGUCUCCUGCAGUGUGACAGCUAGACCGCAUCUAAAACUAUUGUAAACAACAUUUUUGUCAUUCUUGUGUGUGCAGUUGUUAUGACUUCAUAUUUCGGGACAACACAAAAUAUUAGUGCUUUUCAAAUGUAAUUAUUCACACCGCAGAACUCUUUAGGUGAGCUGCAGGUAGGUAGUUUAAAAAUGGGAUAUAUCACAGCACCUAAACAUACAGUUUCCCUUUUACAAAAAUGUAUACAUGUUGAUUCAGUCUUAAAGUAUGAAUUCAUUUUUUUUUUUUGCAGGUGAGCCGUAUUCCCAGGCGCUGGUAAAAGGUCUCAUUCUAGUGUUCUUCUUCAUUGCUGCGUCUGUUUCAGGAACACCAUGGAAACAAAUCAGACAGGCAUGGAGUAGUGCUUCACUAUGAAAGAAAGCAAGGGAUAGAAGAAGAAAAUGAUUUAUCAAACAGAAUUUGAUAUUCAAGUGUAAAUAGAUGUUAUUUAUUUUCCUUUUAUGUUUUGUAAAAAAAAAAAUUAUGAAUCAUUAUGUUUUGAGAACUUUUGU